AGAUUGAACGCUGGCGGCAGGCCUAACACAUGCAAGUCGAGCGGCAGCACGGGUACUUGUACCUGGUGGCGAGCGGCGGACGGGUGAGUAAUGCCUAGGAAUCUGCCUGGUAGUGGGGGAUAACGCUCGGAAACGGACGCUAAUACCGCAUACGUCCUACGGGAGAAAGCAGGGGACCUUCGGGCCUUGCGCUAUCAGAUGAGCCUAGGUCGGAUUAGCUAGUUGGUGGGGUAAUGGCUCACCAAGGCGACGAUCCGUAACUGGUCUGAGAGGAUGAUCAGUCACACUGGAACUGAGACACGGUCCAGACUCCUACGGGAGGCAGCAGUGGGAAUAUUGGACAAUGGGCGAAAGCCUGAUCCAGCCAUGCCGCGUGUGUGAAGAAGGUCUUCGGAUUGUAAAGCACUUUAAGUUGGAGAAGGCAGUUACCUAAUACGUAUCUGUUUUGACGUUACCGACAGAAUAAGCACGGCUAACUCUAGUGCCAGCACG
rnacentral:rRNA from 1 species